rnacentral:rRNA from 1 species
AAACGAACGCUGGCGGCAGGCUACACUGCAAGUCCGAGCGCGCCUUCGGGUGAGCGGCGGACGGGUUAGUAACGCGUGGGAACGUGCCCUUCUCUACGGAAUAGCCUCUGGAAACGGAGAGUAAUACCGUAUACGCCCUUUGGGGGAAAGAUUUAUCGGAGAAGGAUCGGCCCGCGUUAGAUUAGGUAGUUGGUGGGGUAAUGGCCUACCAAGCCUACGAUCUAUAGCUGGUUUUAGAGGAUGAUCAGCAACACUGGGACUGAGACACGGCCCAGACUCCUACGGGAGGCAGCAGUGGGGAAUCUUAGACAAUGGGGGCAACCCUAAUCUAGCCAUGCCGCGUGAGUGAUGAAGGCCUUAGGGUCGUAAAGCUCUUUCGCCUGUGAUGAUAAUGACAGUAGCAGGUAAAGAAACCCCGGCUAACUCCGUGCCAGCAGCCGCGGUAAUACGGAGGGGGUUAGCGUUGUUCGGAAUUACUGGGCGUAAAGCGCGCAUAGGCGGAUUAGAAAGUUGGGGGUGAAAUCCCGGGGCUCAACCCCGGAACUGCCUCCAAAACUGCUAGUCUAGAGUUCGAGAGAGGUGAGUGGAAUUCCGAGUGUAGAGGUGAAAUUCGUAGAUAU